rnacentral:rRNA from 1 species
UACGAAGGGAGCUAGCGUUGUUCGGAAUCACUGGGCGUAAAGCGCACGUAGGCGGAUGUGUCAGUCAGGGGUGAAAUCCCGGAGCUCAACUUCGGAACUGCCUUUGAUACAGCACAUCUGGAGUCCGGAAGAGGUGGGUGGAAUUCCUAGUGUAGAGGUGAAAUUCGUAGAUAUUAGGAAGAACACCGGUGGCGAAGGCGGCCCACUGGUCCGGUACUGACGCUGAGGUGCGAAAGCGUGGGGAGCAAACAGGG